CAGCAAUCCAGUCAUAGCAGAAACAAAAAUAUUAUGAUAUUCAUGGGUGAUGAUAUUGUCUACAAUUGUCUUGGGAUAAUUUAUUUAUUUACUUACUUACUUACCUAUCAAUCUGAUACUUAGGUAUCAAAUUAACUUACCUCCCUUAUAAUUUUCAGAAAACUUUUGUAGGUGUAAUACUGCGGAUUGUCCAGCAGGUGUCACAAUUGUGGCAGUAAGGCAGGUCUAGAUCAGGGACCUAUGAGACCAAAAAUUUUUAAAAGCGGCACACCUUCAUAUGGAGACAAUUGAGUCAAAAGACUCAGAGCUUGCAGGUAAUUGCCAACUGUGAAGUUACGGGUGGAUUUUGGGCCAGUGGUUCUCAUGGAUCCAUUCUGGGAAUGCAAGCCUGUGUUCUAGGUGCAGGGAUAGAGCUCAGCCUGAUCAGAGCAGGCCAGACAGCAGCGGGACCUCAGAAGCAGAUUUUAGCUUGGGAAGCAACAAUGAGCCACAGGGGUAAGAGAAGCCACGGAGGUGUUGCCGCAGGAAUCUGCAGGCAUCAGUUACUCAGCCACUUAGCUGGCAGGACUGAGCCACACAGGGGUAGGAGGGCUAGAAAUUACCAAGUCCCUACUGUGGAUCAGCCACCCCAUUCCUCGUUCAGCUGAGCCAGCUCGAUAAUUCAGCUACAGAGGGUUAGUUCAGCUCCAUGGGGUGGGAGGAGGCCCUAGCGGGUCUGAGCAGGGACAGGCAAUGUUGUGGAUUCAGGCCACAUUGUCGCCAAACUGUAGUAGUACCAAAGAGUUCCACAAUAGCCCUGAAAGGAGUAUUAACAAAGGUUUAUUUAUUUGGGGAUAAACUCACAGUAAGGGUAGUGAUCCACAGUCCUCUGUGAGCACUGGGAACUGGAACCGAAUCCAGCAGAAAAAAGGGUCACAUAUGAUUUAAUGCAGUUAAAGUACAUGAGACCACGCCCAGAGUGGGCCAGUAUCUUAAAGUCUAUUGGCUGAAGGAGUUCCCACAACACAGGGGCUGCUGGGAUCAACAAGUCUGAGAGCUGGGAUUCUGGCAGCGAGGCUCCAGCCACUAUGCAGUUCAGAGGUUGGGAACAGAGCAGGUUGUUAGCUAUAAGAAUCUAAUCAUUCAGAACAGAAAUAUCUUUGUGUAUAACUAAUUCAUGGGAAAACCCAGUGCAUUUUAGUUGCAGAAACAAGAUACCAAAGUGGGUGGAGGAAAAGCCAUGCACAGGUCUAGAAUAAAGUGAAAUGUGUCUGCGCAGGUCCAAGACAACCCAUAUUGAACAUUGAGGAUUUUAGACGUCCUGACCUUCCGGUGACCUGUGGUGAUGCUCAGGGGACUCUGUAUGUGGAGAAACUUCCGCAAGGCACCCAUGAGAAGAGUAUAUGCACUGAGAAUGGAGAGUGGCUCACUCUCAGGGAGUUUGAAAUCAGAGGAAACCGUGAAAGAUCCAAGAACUGGAGGCAAAGCAUAUGUUGUCGAGGAUGGACCCUGGGAUCCUUAAUAAAGGGAAAGAAGAGUGUGAGAAACAAGCCCUCAGAAUGUCUAAAAUUUUGGACGAUCAAGUGGCAUCCCUUGUCUGAGCUCACUGUAAAAAUCACCAGGACAGGAAAACUGGAUCUAAAUGUUUCCUUGACUCACUGUGGGGCACAUGAGGAGUAAUAUCCAUGAAGACAGCUUGUAUUUAACAAGGUUACAGACAGACAGAAAUAUCUAGAAGAUGGUGAGAAAUACCUCAAUCACAAACUAAAAGCAAAGACCCUCCCAUCAUUAACUCUCUGUCUUUCACGGAGGAAUUCUACCAGACUCACCUAGGACAAAGGGACAGGGGGAAAACCAAACAAGCCCCGAGUGAACAAAGAAAAACGUAACUGCUCCAUGAUCUUCUGCCAUGAUGUCAGAGGCCAUUAACUACAAAUUAUUAAUU